rnacentral:rRNA from 1 species
UACGUAGGGGGCUAGCGUUGUCCGGAAUCAUUGGGCGUAAAGCGCGUGUAGGCGGCCCGGUAAGUCCGCUGUGAAAGUCGGGGGGCUCAACCCUCGGAUGCCGGUGGAUACUGUCGGGCUAGAGUGCGGAAGAGGCGAGUGGAAUUCCUGGUGUAGCGGUGAAAUGCGCAGAUAUCAGGAGGAACACCAAUUGCGAAGGCAGCUCGCUGGGACGUGACUGACGCUGAGACGCGAAAGCGU